CUUUCCGAGGAGCGUUGCAAGGCCCGCCGCCGUGUUCGAGCGUGCGUCCCCAGGCUCGGAAUUUGAAUUGCAACCGCGCUCACCCGCA
rnacentral:ncRNA from 2 species